rnacentral:rRNA from 1 species
AACGAACGCUGGCGGCAGGCUUAACACAUGCAAGUCGAGCGCCCCGCAAGGGGAGCGGCAGACGGGUGAGUAACGCGUGGGAAUCUACCCAUCUCUACGGAAUAACGCAUGGAAACGUGUGCUAAUACCGUAUACGUCCUUCGGGAGAAAGAUUUAUCGGAGAUGGAUGAGCCCGCGUUGGAUUAGCUAGUUGGUGGGGUAAAGGCCUACCAAGGCGACGAUCCAUAGCUGGUCUGAGAGGAUGAUCAGCCACACUGGGACUGAGAAACGGCCCAGACUCCGACGGGAGGCAGCAGUGGGGAAUAUUGGACAAUGGGCGCAAGCUUGAUCCAGCCAUGCCGCGUGAGUGAUGAAGGCCCUAGGGUUGUAAAGCUCUUUCACCGGUGAAGAUAAUGACGGUAACCGGAGAAGAAGCCCCGGCUAACUUCGUGCCAGCCGCCGCGGUAAAAC